UUCAUCGUGUCAGAGUUCUGCUCUUCUUCUUCAUCUUCAGACUUUGUGCAGUUUAGAUUUUAACAUUCAAUCUUUUUAACUGGAAACCAGUUCGAACAAAGAACAGCAACUCCUUCACACCUGAUCUUUCUCCACCAACUCUACGGUAUCUCUCCUGCUGCUGACUCUAGAACUCAUCUCUCUCCUGUCAUUCAGAUCAACAUGAAGAUCUCUAUCUUUGCCGGUCUUCUGCUGAUCUCUGCUACCAUGCUCUGUGUGGAUGCUCUUACACUGUUUGAAAGACAGCACAUCAAAGUGGGCAUGAACGAUAACGGCUGCAACAAGGAGAUGAAAGAUGAAAUAUUCAAGGAAAACGAUGGCAAUUGUAAGCCGACAAAUACCUUUAUCAAAGCGGAUAUCACCACAGUCACACUUGUCUGUGGGAGUGAAGGAACGAACAUUGGUGGUGAAACGUAUGAAAGCAACAACAAAUUCAAUGUUGUUCUCUGCUCAGAAGGUAAAGGUAAAUAUCCCUGUAAGUACAAGAGUACACCAAUAAAAAAGGUGUACAUUCAAGUUAAAUGUAAUAACAGUGAACCUUUUCACUUUGUAAAAUUUAGGGAUUAAGAUUUAACAACUACCUGAUGAAUCAGAGUAAUCUAUUACUACCUGAUGAAC